AUUGAACGCUGGCGGCAGGCCUAACACAUGCAAGUCGAGCGAGCGGCGGACGGGUGAGUAAUGUAUGGGGACUGCCCGAUAGAGGGGGAUAACUACUGGAAACGGUGGCUAAUACCGCAUACUAUCGGAUAACCCAUAGGGGAUUAGCUAGUAGGUGGGGUAAAGGCGCACCUAGGCGACGAUCCCUAGCUGGUCUGAGAGGAUGAUAAGCCACACUGGGACUGAGACACGGCCCAGACUCCUAGGGAGGCAGCAGUGGGGAAUUUUCGGCAAUGGACGAAAGUCUGAACGAGCAACGCCGCGUGGGGGAAGAAGGUUUUCGGAUCGUAAAACUCUAUUGUUAGAGAAGCGGUAUCUAACCAAAAAGCCACGGCUAACUACGUGCCAGCAGCCGCGGUAAUAC
rnacentral:rRNA from 1 species